ensembl:rRNA 5S_rRNA 5S ribosomal RNA
AUCUACGGCCAUACCACCCUGAAUGCGCCCGAUCUCGUCUGAUCUUGGAAACUAAGCAGGGUCAGGCCUGGUUAGUACUUGGAUGGGAGAAAUCCCCUUACAUUUAUGACUCCGGUGGUUGGUUU